rnacentral:rRNA from 1 species
ACGGUACCGUAAGAAUAAGCACCGGCUAACUACGUGCCAGCAGCCGCGGUAGUACGUAGGGUGCAAGCGUUAAUCGGAAUUACUGGGCGUAAAGCGUGCGCAGGCGGUUAUGUAAGACAGAGGUGAAAUCCCCGGGCUCAACCUGGGAACUGCCUUUGUGACUGCAUAGCUGGAGUGCGGCAGAGGGGGAUGGAAUUCCGCGUGUAGCAGUGAAAUGCGUAGAUAUGCGGAGGAACACCGAUGGCGAAGGCAAUCCCCUGGGCCUGCACUGACGCUCAUGCACGAAAGCGUGGGGAGCAAACAGGAUUAGAUACCCUGGUAGUCCACGCCCUAAACGAUGUCAACUGGUUGUUGGGUCUUCACUGACUCAGUAACGAAGCUAACGCGUGAAGUUGACCGCCUGGGGAGUACGGCCGCAAGGUUAAAACUCAAAGGAAUUGACGGGGACCCGCACAAGCGGUGGAUGAUGUGGUUUAAUUCGAUGCAACGCGAAAAACCUUACCCACCUUUGACAUGUACGGAAUCCUUUAGAGAUAGAGGAGUGCUCGAAAG